AGUGAACGCUGGCGGUAGGCCUAACACAUGCAAGUCGAACGGCAGCACAGUAAGAGCUUGCUCUUACGGGUGGCGAGUGGCGGACGGGUGAGGAAUACAUCGGAAUCUACUUUUUCGUGGGGGAUAACGUAGGGAAACUUACGCUAAUACCGCAUACGACCUACGGCUGAAAGCAGGGGAUCUUCGGACCUUGCGCGAUUGAAUGAGCCGAUGUCGGAUUAGCUAGUUGGCGGGGUAAAGGCCCACCAAGGCGACGAUCCGUAGCUGGUCUGAGAGGAUGAUCAGCCACACUGGAACUGAGACACGGUCCAGACUCCUACGGGAGGCAGCAGUGGGGAAUAUUGGACAAUGGGCGCAAGCCUGAUGCAGCCAUACCGCGUGGGUGAAGAAGGCCUUCGGGUUGUAAAGCCCUUUUGUUGGGAAAGAAAAGCAGCAGGUUAAUACCCCGCUGUUCUGACGGUACCCAAAGAAUAAGCACCGGCUAACUUCGUG
rnacentral:rRNA from 1 species